GUAAGAUGGGCCUUGUUUCAACUUGGCCUUCUGCUGUGAUUGCAAGCUUCCUGAGGCCUCCCCAGCCAUGUGGAACUGUAAGACGCCUUGGAUUGCUUCUCAUUCCCGACAUAUAUUUGGUUGGCAAGUCCCGGCAUUUACACUUCAGAAAUAACUCAGUGCGUGACUUACUGGCAGCUAUGGGUCCUGGCCACUGCCCAGCAUUGCGGAAGCAUAUCUUCCCCAGCUUCUUCAGCCCAGAAAAUGAUCAAAAUUCAAAAUUCCAACUACAUUUCUACUGAGUGUGUAUCCUUUUGCCCUACUGUAAAAUCAAAACAUCUUAAACAAUCAUUAGGGUUCCUUCUAUUGUUCACACAGGUCAGCUUUCCAAGGGAGAAGGCAGGUUAGAAAAGGAUGAGAAAUGGAUUUGGAGGGUUUGACAAACUUAUUGGGGACAUAUUUAAAGGGCCACAGAAGACUUGUACAGUGAGGCUAUAAAGGAGACACAGUGUUUACUAUACUUACUUGACUAGGUAGUUCUAGGUAGCUUCAACAGCUUUACAAUUCAUUUGCUUUUGAUAAUUGUCUCUGGUGUUGCUGGUUGACAUCUUCUAUUGUGUAUGGACAAUGAUCAUCUAUAAUAUCAGGGUAGUCUCAGGCCUCUAACUAAAAAUGAGGAACAUAGUAUUCUGUGAAUAUAAGCCUGGGAAGGAUUAUCCUGCUCGAACAUAUGGGCUUCAAAGAAUAUGCUGUACAGCCGCCCCUGGUAUCUGAGGCAGACUGGUUCCAGGACCUCCAUGGAUAUCAAAAUCUGUGGAUGCUCAAGUGCCUUAGCCCUGUGGAAGCUGUGGAUACAAAAAGAUGGUUCUCUGUAUUGGGGUUGAGGGAUUGUUUCAUAUCCCCAGAUACUGGUCUGUAUUCUCCAUCUCCAGUAGGUUGAAUCCCAGAAUGCAGAACCCAUGAAUACAGAGAGCUGACUGUAUUCAAUUUUUGCACUAGAUUGUUUCAAGUUUCCUUGGACCAUGACUCUCAGAUCCAAUUUCUAGGGUCAUCACACAUUCCCUGGUCUUUCCUAACCCUGAACUUGUUAUGGAAGGAGCGUGGGUGAAGGGGUUACAACAUUCAUGUGAAAAUUUUGGUUUUGGUUCUUAGAAAAGCCAUUUAACCUUGCUUAAGAUUUAUUAAUGGGUUCCAGCCACGGGCAUUCUGACUUGGUAGGUAGAGGAUGGUUUCUGGUUGUUUACAUCUUUUUGUAAAAUUCCAUAAGUGAUUUUCAUGUGUGGUAGGGCAGUUAACAUACAGAGUUCUAUAAGGUAGAAGUGAUGGCUUUGAGGGUUCUAUAAUUCCCCCUGCCUUUUAGCCACUGUAGCUUUUUGUUGAAAUAUUGCGUGGCCUUACUUACAUUUGAGUUUUUGUGAGAAUUAUGUACUGCUAAAGAGACAAGAGAAGCUACUGGAAUUGGAGGACAGAUUUAAGAGUCUGAAUAUAUUCUUUCCCUGACAUCGUUUCCAAACUGUGUUCUGUAGGUCUCAACAGAAAUGCUUCUGGUUUUUUAUAAAUGUUUGAUUUAAAUUUCAUUUUUAUUUAUUAUUGACAAAAAUCUAUAUAUAUUUACAGAGUAUAUUAUGUGUGUUUAUGUGUAUAUGUAUGCAUGUAUAUGUAUAUAUGUAUAUUUACACAUAUGUAUGUAUAUAUAUGCAUACAUAAAUAUAUAUUGUGUAUAUAUACAUUAACAUAUAUAUAAAUACAAGUACACAUAUUUAAUGGUUUGGAGCCCUCAAUAGACAGUGCCAUUAUGCUAAAAUUCAGCUAACUACAAAUAUUGACCCAUUGGAAUAACUAGCACAUUAACUUGAACUUUAUAGUAUAUCUUUUUGGUGGGAGGGCGUGGAAGUGGAGUGAGGGCAGGUCAAUCUUAGAAAAAAAUAUCUUUCUGUACUAUUUAAAAGUUUAGUAAAUAUAUAAUUGAAUAAAAGUUUCAGUUUUUGCAUUAUUUUUAAAUUAAUCAGUCUAUUUUAAAAUUAAUUAAUACAUAUCUGCAAAAGUAAAAUAACACUAGAAAAUGUACUGUUUCCACACCUGUGAUUAGGGUAAAGAUCAAGGUCAUCUAUGCAGUGAAAGAUGUUAAUAUCAUCUGUGAAGUAACAACUAAUAUAAUUACAUCUCAUUGGGACCAUUUGUUAGCAAUAUCAAGCACUUUCUAUAGGUAAAUCAUGACUGUCUUGUUUUUAAGUAAUUCAACUUUGAAAUAAAGUUGCUCACUGAAACAUUUUUAAAGAAUUUGGAUUGGCUUAGAGUGUCCUGAGAUUAUAAAGUCAGACACUGAACAGCUGGUGUCAUUGUAAUUACUUAUUUCUGUAUGUCUGCUUUUCUUAGAGAAAUAAAAUAUUUGCCAAAGUUUAUAUGAAAACAGACAAGCAUAAUGC
ensembl:lncRNA